AUGAGCUCAGGACAGAACCUCAACUUCCUGCUGGGUGUACUACAGCUUGCCGUGUCAGACGAGACCUCUACAGGUUACUCAGUGGUGCAGCCCUUCAGGCAGAGCUGGAAGGGCAGUGACCCGCUGGUGCUGUCAGACCCACAGCCUGCCUCUGUCUGCUACGCUGCAGCUCACCUUCACCACUGAUCUGGGUACAGAUCACUGCAGGAUGUCUUUGGCCACUUGUCUAGACCUGCUGUAGUGCUGCUCCUCACUCUACAGAGAACUCACUUCCUGUAGCCACAUCUUCCAGCCAAUCAGCAUACUGCUCUCCAAACACCGUCCUGUCAAAACGUGCCCUACAGCCUUACAGGUGAGUGGAACUGCAUUGUCAGUAAGCCCUGGGCAAAUGUUGCUUUUUGACCCUAAAUUAGUGUCCAAAAUCGAGCAUAGAAAAAUAAAAAAGUUUGUUUGCUUAAAAGAAGCAGUGGUCACCUUAGUGACCCUGUAUGUAACGCUAUGGCCAGGGUCAAUUUCAAUAAGGAUAAUUGGAAUUUCAAUUUACUUCCUGAAAUGACUGACUUGAAAUGGAAUUGAUCCCAACUCCGGGCUACCCCUUAUUUCCCCGUCUGCCGCUACAGCGAGUCCUUGUUUUUGUCCAU
rnacentral:lncRNA from 13 species